CCUCACUGCUCCCCGUGACACCAUCUCUCUGAACACACAGCUUGGUUCUUGAUGCUGCUGCUGCUGUCUGAAGAAAUAAUGAACUCUGUUAGUGCACCUGGAAAUACACCAACAGCCUAGAGAAGGAGCACUUAGCUCAUAGCACUUUACUGAAAAUGUCAGGACCACCCAGAAGUAUUUAAAUCCUGUAAAAGCCAAGUAAAGAGAGGAGCUAAACAAUUAAGUAAUAGAAACAAGAGCAGGAACCAAGGGGCCAAAUCCACGGACAUACUUGUAGAAGUCUCUGGUAGGGCUACGCUGCACAACCUGGUCCGAACUUCAUUUGGACCCACACUGUGUCUAAGAUCACCUGAUGGGAAACUGAAGUGAUCUGAGGCAAGAGAGGA